rnacentral:rRNA from 1 species
UCGAGCGGUAACAGAUCCAGCUUGCUGGAUGCUGACGAGCGGCGGACGGGUGAGUAACGCAUAGGAAUUUACCCGAUAGUGGGGGAUAACCUGGGGAAACUCAGGCUAAUACCGCAUACGUCCUACGGGAGAAAGGGGGCCUUGGCUCCCGCUAUCGGAUGAGCCUAUGCCGGAUUAGCUGGUUGGUGAGGUAAUGGCUCACCAAGGCGACGAUCCGUAGCUGGUCUGAGAGGAUGAUCAGCCACAUCGGGACUGAGACACGGCCCGAACUCCUACGGGAGGCAGCAGUGGGGAAUAUUGGACAAUGGGGGCAACCCUGAUCCAGCCAUGCCGCGUGUGUGAAGAAGGCCCUCGGGUUGUAAAGCACUUUCAGCGAGGAAGAACGCCUGGCGGUUAAUACCCGCCAGGAAAGACAUCACUCGCAGAAGAAGCACCGGCUAACUCCGUGCCAGCAGCCGCGGUAAUACGGAGGGUGCAAGCGUUAAUCGGAAUUACUGGGCGUAAAGCGCGCGUAGGUGGCUUGAUAAGCCGGUUGUGAAAGCCCCGGGCUCAACCUGGGAACGGCAUCCGGAACUGUCAGGCUAGAGUGCAGGAGAGGAAGGUAGAAUUCCCGGUGUAGCGGUGAAAUGCGUAGAGAUCGGGAGGAAUACCAGUGGCGAAGGCGGCCUUCUGGACUGACACUGACACUGAGGUGCGAAAGCGUGGGUAGCAAACAGGAUUAGAUACCCUGGUAGUCCACGCCGUAAACGAUGUCGACCAGCCGUUGGGUGCC